UACGUAGGGUGCAAGCGUUACUCGGAAUUAUUGGGCGUAAAGCGCAUGUAGGUGGCUUUGUAAGUCUGAUGUGAAAUCCCUGGACUCAAUUCAGGAACUGCAUUGGAUACUGCAAGGCUAGAGUAUGGGAGAGGUAGGCGGAAUUCCUGGUGUAGAGGUGAAAUUCGUAGAUAUCAGGAGGAACAACAGAGGCGAAGGCGGCUUACUGGACCAUAACUGACACUGAGAUGCGACAGUGUGGGGAGCAACAGG
rnacentral:rRNA from 1 species